rnacentral:lncRNA from 1 species
GAAACACAUACCUUAUUGUUCUUCAUCCUAGGAAAAUAGUGCAGCUUGUCAGAAAUUUUAGCCCCGAAUCAGUGGGCUUGGGAAUAGAUGACUCUUAAAGGUGAACCCGUGUCUUUCCUCUCUGCAGAGCUUGUGCUUAAAUGCUGGAUUGCACAAUACGGAGUAUUUUAAUAGCUUCUUGAGUUAUAAGACUGCAGACAUUCUUCUCUUGGGAAUGUCAAGGCUCUAAAGAGACCCUCCAGCGUCUUGAAUUGCACUUGAGGCUGAGCAGAGUCACUGCAGACAUAAUUCAAAUGGCUGUGUUACUGGCCCUGCUAGAGAUGAAUAAGGGGAUGUUCGCUCAGAUUAAUGGGUGAAAUACUCAAAGCUUAUUAACUGGCAUAUGGAAACAUUCAUUGCUGGAAGCUGCUUUUCAGGGUCUAAGCCAGCAAUUUAACAGGACCCAAAAUGACUCCAUAUCUUCUCAUAGUCAUAUAAAUACCAGAUAAUUGUAGCUAGUGUUUAAUAUCCUUUCAAAAGUGUAACUUUGGUAUGGGGAUUUCAAGUCUCACCUCUUUUUGUAGUUAUUCCUUCCAGAUUACUUACGUGUGGCAUGGAUCACCUGGCUAAGUUGGAGUGGGCGCACACUCCAUCUUCAGGACAGUGCCUGGGGAAUAGGAAUGAAGCUUUAAAAGUCCUGAUUUGGAGAACCAGAUAGGAAUAUACAGUUGAGGUGAGAGGAAGAGUGGGUGGAGCACGUAGCCACAAUAGAAACCUUACUGCUGUAGCAGCUAGAGCGUUAGCAGGUGUGGCUGCCUUAUACUGUUCUACACAGGGUUGUGCUAAUAACUGCUGCUUUCAAAUUACUGGGAAGACUAUUGGUAGGUCCCACAGAGCACAUCGUUUUGUCUUUGUGAUUUUAUUCCAAAGCGAGGUGGGAAGAAGUUCCAAAUGAAAGCUUGUGAGGUACGUACGACACAAAUGCAUGUCAUUCUGUGUACUUUCAGGAGUUUGUCCUCAUAAAACUGUCCCACUAUAAUAAACUUUCUUCUGUGGAAGGCAAAUGGAUAAGAAGGUCUAAGCACUUCAAAGUUAGGGUACCAGGAGGAGCUGGUAACUAUGGAGAUGGUUUCAAGUGAGAUUCAGGUAUGGCUUUGAUCACAGCUUGGCCUCCCAAAUGUUUUCCCUUGUACCACUAAGAUCUCUGCUUCCUUUCUGCUUCUCCCAGAGGCAGAAAACUGUGGAGCUGCCAUUAGAGAGAUCAACUUGCAGUUAUCUGCUGGUCCGAAAGCACUGUUCCCUCUGUUAAAGACUUCAUGCUCGUAUUGAAAUUGGUACUGCUUUGUUUGAAAAGGUCCUUUCUAUUAAAGUUUUUUAUUUUAUUGGGUACUUUCAAAAAAUUUUAUGAGAAUUGUUGGCUGAAGCUCCUUUGCAAUUUUACAAGUUCAAAGGGAAAUGAAUUCAUGAGAAAACUUGGAGCUACAAUUGGCAUAAAAUCCCAGCAGGAAAUUUUGCCAGAUUAAUAAAUAUGUAUUUCACAAGAGGCAAAAUAAACUGAGUUGUAAAAUUACAUUCACAGAGCUUUCUGUGCUUUAUUGUGAGUAGCAGCGAGCUAACAGUAAAGCUGGGUUAAGGAGGUCUCUGAAGCUUGCAAGUAGUCUGCAGCCACGGCUGUAAAAGUAAAGUCAGUCAUUCCCGUGCAAUCAUCAGAGAAUGUUUUUGGCUCCAUUCUUGCAAAUCUGAAAUUGCAUAAUUCAGCUGCUUUUGUGGUGGAGACAAAGUGUUGCAGAACUCUAAUGUCUAUCUAAAACAAUCAGAAAAAUGCUUUCGUUUUGGUCACUUUUUUCUUUUUUUUUUUUUAAUAUGUUUUCAUUGCCAAAGCAAUUAUACCUUUGGAACAGUCUAUCAUGAGCUGUAUGCUUGCGUAUAUUUAAAGCGAACCUUUACAGAGAUGCUCUGGGGCAGGCACUAAUAUGGAUGGCUGAUAUCCAAACAGUGGCUGUUAGAAAAAUCCAGAGGUGAGGUGGCACCUGUAACCACAGGGACUGAUGUGUGUUUCUGAGAUGGCUCAUCCAUGGUUGUUUUCCCAUCUCCAUCUCCCAGAUUCCCUAGUUGCACUCGGCUUGCCUGAGAGGCAACUGCCCUUCUCAUCUCCAAAGUUCUCUACAGCUCAAUGUUUUUGCUGGCUCCAGCCUUGAGAUUGGCAGGAAGGAAUUGUUUGAAAGGAAUCUGGAUGUUAGCCCUUGGAAAGAAUUUUCUGGCAUCGAUUUUGGCCAAGGAGAAGCUGAAAGCUGCCUUUUGGCUUCCUACUUUCCCUAGAGGAAGCCACCAGGCUGCAAGUAAAAUACAAAUUGUUAAGAGUAUAUAUCAAUUUAAAGGUGGUGUAAGCCCUAGCCUGAAAGCUGUAGACAAACUGCUUGGUUUAAAUGUUACUGGAUGCAGAACAGGCUCCAGUAACUGUGAUUUUCCAGUAAGUCUCAGUGCUCUUUGGGAGUCUGUAAGUGGUGUGGAUGAAGACCUCAUUCACUGUGUAUUGAAUCAGCCACGUGCUCUGAAGAUGAAGUGGUCAGCCUGGGGACUUGGAUGCUGUAAGUACUUAGCUUACCAGUAACUAGUGUGUGAUCUCUAACCCAUUUUGUAUUAACUUGUGAAUAACGGCUGUCACGUGGAACUAACAGCUAACUCAUCCACUGUAAUUCAAGCAAUGGACUUAAUAAAGCAUUCUCUCUCCUGUUGCAGGUACUUGGGCCUUUCUGCCCUGUAUUUGAAAAGAACAAAAAAGUCAAGCUAAGGUUUAGCUUUUCUGAAGUAGAAGUAUAGACAUCUACUGAUCAUUUUUUGCAGUGCUCAGACUCAGGAGAUGAAGGAAAGCAGCUCCCUUGUAAGACUCCUCUUGUAACAGCUAUCCAAAUCCAGCAAUCUCUGCAGAAUGUCACGUUUGUCACAGUUUAAGUAAAACUUGACAAGUUAUAACAGGGCCUCCCAGAAAGAAGGAUGUUUGUUGCAGAUGUUUUACAUUUAAUUCCACUUGCUUGAAUAGUUCUGAACAGAUACACAGCCUCACCUUCACUCCUGAUUCAGAGUGUAAACGUCAGAACAGGGCUGUGCUGAUUUACAAUGAGAGUGCAAGUCAGAUGCCAAUUUGCACGUGGCAUUCAUGCAUCACCUGUUAAAAUCUCUUGGAAAACUAGAUCCUGUGCCUCUGUUGCUGAGUGUUGUCCCUUAGCAGCUGCAACUGAGUUUUCCCUUUCUUCGUUGCAUCUGAGGCUGCCCUUCUGCCUUCAGCAGAGCUCCUCCUAUCCGAGAAGUGGGAAAAGUGGCAUAGAGCAGGUAGGAAAGGGCUUAACAACCACAUAGAGCUAUCAGUGGGAUUACAACCAGCCCUGCAACUUUCCCAGAGACAUGGAGGAUCGUUCUUAGUAAGUCUCCUUUGCACCCAGGUGGGGUGUCUUUGACUUUGAUGGGAUAAAAGGAGGAUGGAUGUCUUUCAUGUUCUAUUGAGAUGCUGCAAGCCUAUAUCCAAAACCUCAGGUCAGGGUCAUGGUCUAUUUUGAUAGCUACAGUUAUGGUAUUCUCAGCACAGCACUUUGCCUUCCCAGUCUAGAUGCCUCUUAGUUACAGGCUGCACACGCUAAUUAGCAUUGCUCGUACAAUAGUGGGAAGCCAUUAGGCAUUCCAUGAAGUUAUUAGGGCCAGGAUUUUAUAGAUAACAUUAGCCUCUGAGGAGUUUACCCAAGGUAAUUUACGUUCUAUUUGCAACUAAAGGAAAACUCUUAGAUGUUUGACAUUAUAAAACAGUAAAACAGGGAGAUUUAUUACAGGGGCAGAGAUAACAGGGCCCUUGAGCUGCUUUGUUUAUCAUAAAAAGUCGGGUUAAUCAGAUGUGCACAUGUGCCUCCCAUAUUUUCUGCUUCAGUUUUGCUCCUGUCCUGCUCCUUGACAAGCACUGCAAAAUGCAAAGAGGCACCAAAAAGUGUUUGGAUUCUACAGAACACAGAUUAUGUUUGUACAUCCAAAGGAUUUGCACCUCCCCCUUGAGCUACCAUUAACAGAGAAGGGACACAUGUAAGCAAACUACAACUUUUCCAAGCAAAGGGCCGCAUAGGAAAUCAGCUGGCUGAAAGUCUCUCCCUCUGCCUGGGAAGCUUUGCUCCCCGCUGUCCUGAGCCCAACAGCCCUGCCUCUAAUUUGUGGGCUUUCUGCCGUCCUGAUGUUUCUCCUGCCUGCUAUAGUAGUGAAACUGUGCUGAAACAACUGCCCAUCACCCUUUGUGCUCUGCAGAAUGGGAGAAUGAGGGAGAGCUAGAGCAGGUGAUAUGGGUCUGCAUGGGCUGUGAACAGCACCAAAAAAGGGAAAAGCAGCAAAUUAGUGCUACUGGUACAGCUGUGGAUGGUUAAGAAGUAAAGCCCAUAGGGCCUCCAUGUGAGUGCUCUCAGCUGUUGGAGGAGAGGAGUGGAGCUGAUCUGUGCUGGGCACUUCUGCUGGUCCUGUGGUCCCAAGCAGCAGGAGAUGCCUAAUCACAAGCGGGUCUGAGCAUCAAAGGCAGUUUUGCCGAUGCCGACACAACAGGGAUUUCAGCCCCUCCACCAUGGGACAAGAAGAGGCCCUGAGCACCAAGGACGUGUGUUUCCCUGAUCUGCUGCCACACUUCUGCAUCUGGAGGUGUCCUCAG